rnacentral:rRNA from 1 species
ACGGGUGAGUAACACGUGAGUAACCUGCCCUCGACUCUGGGAUAACCUCCGGAAACGGAAGCUAAUACCGGAUACGACGUACGGAGGCAUCUCCUGUACGUGGAAAGAACUUCGGUCAAGGAUGGACUCGCGGCCUAUCAGGUAGUUGGUGAGGUAACGGCUCACCAAGCCUACGACGGGUAGCCGGCCUGAGAGGGUGACCGGCCACACUGGGACUGAGACACGGCCCAGACUCCUACGGGAGGCAGCAGUGGGGAAUAUUGCACAAUGGGCGCAAGCCUGAUGCAGCAACGCCGCGUGAGGGACGACGGCCUUCGGGUUGUAAACCUCUUUUAGUAGGGAAGAAGCGAAAGUGACGGUACCUGCAGAAAAAGCACCGGCUAACUACGUGCCAGCAGCCGCGGUAAUACGUAGGGUGCGAGCGUUGUCCGGAAUUAUUGGGCGUAAAGAGCUCGUAGGCGGUCUGUCGCGUCUGCUGUGAAAACCCGAGGCUCAACCUCGGGCCUGCAGUGGGUACGGGCAGACUAGAGUGCGGUAGGGGAGAAUGGAAUUCCUGGUGUAGCGGUGGAAUGCGCAGA